rnacentral:tRNA from 1 species
GCGCACGUGGUGGAAUGGUAGACACGCUGUCUUCAGGUGGCAGUGCCUUCGGGCGUGGAGGUUCGACUCCUCUCGUGCGCA